rnacentral:rRNA from 1 species
GAUGAACGCUGGCGGCGUGCUUAACACAUGCAAGUCGAACGGAGUAAUAUGAAGUUUUCGGACUAAUUAUUACUUAGUGGCGGACGGGUGAGUAACGCGUGGGUAACCUACCUCAUACAGGGGGAUAACAGUUGGAAACGACUGCUAAAACCGCAUAACAAGUUGAGACCGCAUGAUCUUAACUUCAAAUAUUUAUAGGUAUGAGAUGGGCCCGCGUCUGAUUAGCUAGUUGGUGGGGUAAUGGCCUACCCAGGCAACGAUCAGUAGCCGGCUUGAGAGAGUGCCCGGCAACAUGGGGCGUGAGACACGGCCAAAAUUCCUACGGGAGGCAGCAGUGGGGAAUAUUGCACAAUGGGGGAAACCCUGAUGCAGCGACGCCGCGGGAGCGAUGAAGUUUUUCGGUAUGUAAAGCUCUAUCAGCAGGGAAGAAAAUGACGGUCCCUGACUAAGAAGCACCGGCUAAAUACGUGCCAGCCGCCGCCGUAA